GACAGAGGUGCCGAGCGUUAGGCGGAAUCACUGGGCUUAAAGCGUGUGUAGGCGGGUCGUUAAAGUAUCUUGUGAAAUCCCCCGGCUCAACCGGGGAAUGGCUGGAUAUACUGGCGGUCUUGAGCGAUCUAGGGGCAGAUGGAACAAGUGGUGGAGCGGUGAAAUGCGUAGAGUAUCACUUGGAACGCCAAAGGUGAAAACAGUCUGCUGGGAGUCGCUGACGCUG
rnacentral:rRNA from 1 species